GGUGCUUUUCUCAGACUCGGGCUGGUGGAGCGCGUCUGGCUAGUCUCGGAGCUCCCGACUUGGACCUCCCGGUCAGCACGACGCGUCCCCAGCAGCAGACCGGACGGCUGGCUGCUGCGAAGGGUACAGACUCUCCCCACGCGACUCCCGGUGUGGCGCCGGCCUCCAGAGAGGACGUGGAAAAUGUAACCGCGAGCCUGCGGGCCGGGCGCCAUGCCUGGCCGGGCUCUCCAGAGCCGCGCAAGCGGACUUAGAAAAUACUGUGCCCUCAAGUGUGGGCUGAAAAACUGCAACCAUGAAAGUGCUUCCCUUGUAGGUGAAAUGGCCACCAGACCGAGGCUUUCUGGAAUGCAUUCAUUCUCUGCAGUUGAAAGGGAUGAUCCUGGAUCUGAAAGAAAGAGCCACAGUGACUCCAAGAGUGGAGCCAGGGCAUGCUGGACACUGCACAGCUAUGGCCAUGUGUGUCACCACCGAGGGAGAUGUGAGAGAAACGCAGAGGGAUUGCUUGUGACUGUGCCUUCUCGAUGUACGAUGGACCGUUCUGCUCAAAUAGUAAGUGUGACCAAGGACCCGGUAAACAUAGGAAGCAAAGAAUAUUUCAUUUUACAUUAUAAGGAAUGCGACAAUUAUAGUCACUUGAAAGUAAACUAUAUCUGUUGAGAAUUCCUAGUUUUAAUGGGAAGAAAUGUGCUUCUCUUCUUGAAAAGCCACAGGCUAUUGCUUUUAUAUCUUAUAUCAGUCCUCUCUGGAUUUCUCAAAGGAUUUUCUGUAUAUCCUACCAUUUUCCUUCUGUUGCUGCAGUUUGGAAGUAGUUUGUUAUCAGGAUUAUCAAAGCAUCAUUGCUAUUUAUGACAAUGACUUUAAGAAAUGCAAGAAUGUUUGGAACACUGCAGAAAACAUAUUUCAGCCUGGAAGGCAAAUACUAAUUUCAGGAACUAUUGAUCUAUUAUAACACAGGACCACUCAGACAUUUAGCUCUAAGACUUUUGCAUAUCUGUUGUUAGAGGCGUAUAGUGGGGAGCAUGACUCAGCUGCUUCUUAAGUACAAGGUGUUGUCUGCAGCAAAAGAAGAAUUUGAUUGUAGUAUCAACAGAACCAGACAGAACUCUUUGAAUAUAAUUAUAUAUCUUGGAAACUGAUUCAUCAAAGCUAUUAGAUUACAUAGUGUCAUUUAAGCAUCAUUGGGCUCUGUACUUUUCAUUAUCUGUACUUUUCAUUAUGGAGUAUAAUAGGCUUUAUUUGAUACAGAAAUUGGGUGUAAGAUGGAAACAACUUGUGAUUUUCGAAUAAACUUUUGGGGAUUAGUUACUUUGAUGUUGUCAAGAUAGCACCAUAGUAAGUCCUCUGCCUUUCCUCUUGAUUUAUUUAUAAUUUAGAAUCAGCUUAUGAUUUUAAAAAAUGUGACAGGCACAGUGGCAUGCACCAGUAGUCCCAGCUACAUGGGAAACUGAGGCAGAAGGAUCACUUGAGCGCAGGAGAUAGAGACCACCCUGGGCAACGCAGUGAGAUCCGCAUCUCAAAAAAAAAAAAAAAAA
rnacentral:lncRNA from 1 species